GCGUUGUUCGGAAUUAUUGGGCGUAAAGAGCGUGUAGGCGGCUUUGCAGGUCCGCUGUGAAAACUCGAGGCUCAACCUCGAGCUGUCGGUGGAAACCGUAAAGCUAGAGUCCGGAAGAGGAGAGUGGAAUUCCCGGUGUAGCGGUGAAAUGCGCAGAUAUCGGGAAGAACACCCGUGGCGAAGGCGGCUCUCUGGGACGGUACUGACGCUGAGACGCGAAAGCGUGGGGAGCGAACAGG
rnacentral:rRNA from 1 species